UUAAGUUAAACGUUUGGCUGCAUCUUUAUUUUCUAUCUCAGCAUUCCAACACUUGAUUUGGGAAAGCUAAAAGUAGGUUCAAUAUUUUCUGUUCUUAUAGAAAAAGAGAUUUGUGGAAUUGGAGGUCUUCAAAUUUCCAUCCAGCAGAAGAAUGAUUAAGGUAUCGAUUAUGGCGGAGCUGUUAGGAGAAUGCAAGGUGGCGCUAGCAAGGGUGAGGGAGAGGCUGUUAACACCAACCCCAACCUUUCAUUUUCACCCUUUCCCUUCUUCUUCUCGUGAUUCUUCUUUCCUUGUUUACUUUUAGUAAUUUAAUGUUUCUAGUUUGGAUCUUUUUCUGUGUUUCUUUUUCCUUUUACAUAUAAUUUUCAUCAUCCUCAUUCUUUUCUUAGUGCUCUACGAUAAUGUAAAUUUCAGUAACCCUUUUUCUGUUUCCUUAUUGUAGUCAACAGCUUAAUUAUGAGACAUCGGUGUGGGCAGAAUCCUAAAUUAGUUCCUUUGUAUUCACCUUAUCACUACCUCUACGAAUAAAAACGACUUACAUUUUAUCCCAGGUAAAUUAUUCUUAUAUAUUAGAUUAAAAAGUAAAUUAUUUUUUAUUAAAACUUUCAUCUAUUUCUACAGUUAAAUAUUGAUCUCUAUAUGUCAACAUGAUGUAUAUAUGGCAUGUCACGUGUCAUUGUCUAGUUAUUUUGUCAAUCGCAUCAGUUUUUAACGAUACAAAUGAAUGAAUCUUUUAACAAAAAUGAACAAUUUGCUCUUUUAUCUAAUAUACAUGGACUAACUUGUCUAUUUUUUUAAUAGAGGGAGCAAAAUGUAAUUUAACUCCUAAUACAGUGGCCUCCAUAGUACUUUUAUUAGAGAUGCCCAAUGAUGGUUAUUAAAAAUUCAUAUAAAAAUGAAAUGAUGUUUUGAUUGUAAUGAUAAAUUAAGUUAAAGGUUUUGCAUGCAUGAUAUUCUUAGUUCAAAUCUUAUUAAUUUAUAGGUACAUUUUUUUAUUGAUUUAUAAAAUAUAUAAAACAGAACAAAAACACUCUCAUAACGAUAUAACUUAUUUUGCACGUAGAAGAUUAUUUUGAUAAUUUCACAAUUAAGUUGGUGUUCGAUUAGCUCGUGACUUAAAUAUAAAUACUUUAAAAUAAAAAAAAAAUUUCUCUCCAACAAAAAUGAAAUUGAAUGGAGGUUUGGCUCAAAGAAUAUAAAAAUAAUUUUGAUAAUAGAUUAUUUUGUCUGGUUUAUUUGGUUGUGAUGUAAGAUUUGAUGUUUGAUUGAUGAAACUUAAGAUUAUUUAUUAAAUUCUUAUUAUAAAAUUUAUUUAUUUUUAAAAAAGUUUAGUUUUAUUUUUCAUAGUCACAAUUUUCAUAAAUUACAAUAAAUUGUGAUAAUUACUGUUUUUAUUACAUAUUAAUAAUUAAAUAUAUGAUGUUGUAAUAAUUAUAAUAAUCGUGAAAAAUGAUUGCAUCAACAAUCAUAAUUUGUAAAAUUUUAAGAUAAUGUAGUCAUUAAGUUAAUUAUUUUGAAAUAAAAAUAUUAAAUUUUAAGACGUUAUAGGACCAUGUCAAUACUAUCGUUAGGAUAGACAUCGUAGUGUCAGUGUUGAUCCUUCCUUAUAUGUAACCAUAUUAUAAAACCAAUAUUUGGUUAAGUAGAUCCAAAUUUGUUCUUUUAGAUUUCCUUAGUUAUAACUAAAAUAGAUUCAAUAAGUUACUAACGGCAACUAAAAAAAUAUCAAUGGAAACUUAAAUUUUACUUUUUUUAUAUAUCAUAUUUGGGGUGGAGAUGAAAAUAACAAAAUUUGAAUUCGUGUCUAACGAUGUCCGAUACACUCCAUACAAAUUAAAAACUCGUAUAAAAUUUUGUUUCAAAUAGAUCAAAUUGUCGAAACCAUUUUUAUGAUUUGAAAAAUGGGGAUCGACUUUUGAAAAUAAAAUGUGGAGUCGCCACCGAUCUUUUAUUAAUGUGUGAUCGGCUCACCAUUAAAAAUAAAUUUUAGGUCUGCGAAAUUUGAGAAAACAGGUUCGGGAGUCGGUUACGCACGAGAAAGGGUUAGCACCCUCGUAACGCCCAAAAUUGGUACCGAAUCGAUUGUUUAAUGUCUUAAUGUUGCAAUUUUGAAAAGAUUUUAAAAUACGAUCCUUUGAAAAGAAAACUUGAGUAAGAUGAUUUGGAUAUUUAUUUCGAUCAAAGAAAAUGAAACGAAAAGCAGCGAAAAAAAAAACUCGAAUCACCUUUAAGAAAAUUUUUUCUGUAUAUUGAAUGUGUGUGUGAUACAAUAUGCCUUUUUUUGCGUUUUUUGUCCCCCCUUACAAAUACUGAAAACUGGCUUUAUAUAGCCGAAAAUGAAAUACCAAAAUUACAACCAAAACAUCUCGCUUCCUUUUCUUUUUUUCUCUUUUCUUUAUUUUCUGUCGAUUUCUGCUUUUUUCUUUGCCUUCUCUGCUUUGUUGUGUUCGUUUGUCCUUCUUGCAGGUACAACGUACAGAGGCGCAGGCGCACGCGUACGGAGGUGGUGGACGUAGCACCAUGUACGUGGGGAGAGGUGUGCGUGGCAGCGGCGCAGGAGGCUCUGGAAACCCUAGGGGUUUCCGAAAAUUAUUCAAAUCGGGCCAUAGUGUAUUGGGCCUGGGGUUUUGGGUAUUUUAGGCUGAAUUAUGUUUGGUAUUAGGAAAUUCGAGUUUGAGCUAUUUUGUAGUAGGGUUUUGGGUUUAGUUGGGUCUGUAAUCUGGGCUAAGUUAAUUGGGUCUGUAAAAGCUGGACAUUAAUAGUAGAAUUUAUUUAUUUAUUUGGUUUUUAUAUUUGUAUCGGGCCGGGCAAAAAUGGGCUCUUACACAAAUUAUCAUCCUCAUUCAGCACAACAUUGUAUGACAUUUAUAAGGGCUCAAGAUAUAA
rnacentral:lncRNA from 1 species